UCUCCUUGAUUAAUUAAGCUGGACUACUAAUAUUUCUCACAAAUGCAAGCGCGCUUAAUUAACUAUGCACAAAUAAAUCUCUCUCAUUUUGCUAAUAAUAACAACAAUAAUAAUCGACACAUACGUAAUUAAUUAUGUUUGACAUGAUGACGUUGGUUACUUCAAUUUUAAACUAACCAACGUCAUACAUGAAGUGAUAAUUAAUUGACCCUUCUGCAGUUGGUCCGGACCUCACCCAGGGAAGGGUCAGUGACAGGGGAGAGGUUGCCCAUGUUGAUCAUGGACUGCGCGAAGCUGCGGAAGAAGGCGGCCUGGCUGGUGGCGAAGCGGUCGACGAUGGGCGCCGUCGUCCCGGUCGCCUCCGGCGCCGACUUGAGCUCCUGGUCCGACUGGAGGAAGCCGCGGUUGACCUCGAUGUUGGUGUAGUAGUGGUUGUCGAAGGUGUCCGGCGU
rnacentral:lncRNA from 1 species